rnacentral:piRNA from 1 species
GAAAGAUUUUGGAUGCCUGUUCC